GAUGAAGAACGCAGCGAAAUGCGAUAAGUAAUGUGAAUUGCAGAAUUCAGUGAAUCAUCGAAUCUUUGAACGCACAUUGCGCCCGCUAGUAUUCUGGCGGGCAUGCCUGUUCGAGCGUCAUUUCAACCAUCAAGCCCUGUGCUUGUGUUGGGGGCCUGCGGCUGCCGCAGCCCCCUAAAAGCAGUGGCGGGCUCGCUGUCAUUCCGAGCGCAGUAACUUAUCUCGCUUUGGUCGUGGCGGUGGGCACCUGCCGUAAAACACUCUUUUUCACAAGGUUGACCUCGGAUCAGGUAGGAAUACCCGCUGAACUUAAGCAUAUCAAUAAGCGGAGGA
rnacentral:misc_RNA from 1 species